rnacentral:rRNA from 1 species
UACGUAGGGUGCAAGCGUUAAUCGGAAUUACUGGGCGUAAAGCGUGCGCAGGCGGUUCUGUAAGUCUGUCGUGAAAUCCCCGGGCUUAACCUGGGAAUUGCGAUGGAGACUGCAAGGCUAGAAUCUGGCAGAGGGGGGUAGAAUUCCACGUGUAGCAGUGAAAUGCGUAGAGAUGUGGAGGAACACCGAUGGCGAAGGCAGCCCCCUGGGUCAAGAUUGACGCUCAUGCACGAAAGCGUGGGGAGCAAACGGG